ACCUCUUCCCUAGAGGUCUUUAAAAAUAGCAUUGGUAAACACAUAGCCACUGCUGUGGCUAUGUCCAGAAGAAGAAGUAAAGAAUGAAAAGACUUCCCCCAUGCCUGGCCCAAGCCCCCCGAGCUUCCCAGGGAGGACAGCAGGAGCCUCUAAGUCCAGAACCUCUUGGCAGGGAAGAAGCAUCCAGGAUCGGGAGCAAAAUAAUGAGCCAACACUGAAGGAAAUGCCACCCUGCUUCAGCCAUCAGGACCUAGGACCGGAGAGUGAAGGUGGUCGAUACAUGGAAAAAUGGAUUUAAAGGAACAUUUCAAGGACACAGUGCUGUAGCUGGAAAGUCAGGUCCAUCAACAUGUGAAGUAUCAGGAAGAAUGGAAGGAGGGAAAUUCUUGGAAGCCUUGAUGUUCUUUACUGAGGCAUGGAAGGAAUGAAGGGUCCCCACUGAGAUUGCAAAGGAGAACAGGAUGAACUGGGCUCCUGUGUGUCAGCUCCUUUUCUACAGCUGCCUGGAAUGCUGUUCCCCCAGAUACCUUGGCCUACUCCCUCACCUCUGUGGUGAAGCCUCCCUGACCUGGCUCUUUAAAUUGCAAUCCACACCUCUCCACAGCACUCCCUGUUUUGCCCCCUUAAACUCUUCCUACACCUCCUUUUUCUUUCACAAGAAGAUUUGCUAUCCAACAAAUAUGCUAUAAAUAUAUGCACUUACUUUGCAUGUGCAUUGUUUCCUGUGCCCCUGCCAAAGCACUCGAGUGUAAAUUCUAUAAAGGGCUAUGUCUUUAUUC